AAAUAUUUUAGAAAAUAAAAGAGAAAAUGUAUUGAAAGGAUGUUAGAGUAAUCUACCGUAAUCAAGUUCUUGAAUUCAUUUAAUCUUCGGUUCGUAGAAGAAAGGUAUACUUCUUGAUACUUUACUUGGCUAUCUAUCAUGCCCCGAUUCUCGGGCACACGCCUAUCCCUCAUCUUGGUCGAUUAAAAAUUUGCGAUAUCCCAGGAUGUAUCACUGACCCUUUCAUUUUCAUAUGCACAUGUGGAAGCAAUUAAAAAUCCCCAAACAAUAAAACAUUGGGAUAGAACAGUAGGACUAAAUUUCGAACUCUUAAAAACUUUCACUCUUAUAUACAAGGUGAUCUAUUAAAUUUAAUUCACAUUAAGCCAGUUUAAAAACAAGGUCUACAAGCAGAAGUGGGGUUCUACAAGCUAUGGGUCUCGUCCUCCUCUUCAUCAUCCUCCACACUCCAACUGGAGCCUUCAGCAGACUACACUGAACUUUCGAGAUCUUCAAAAUCCAAGUCUACUGCAUCUAGGGACUUGAAAUGGUUAUUUAAUAACCAAUGAAACAACGUCUUAGCAAGUUCUACCCCCUAAAACUCGUUUAGUAAAUUAAUACACCUUAGGGCUGCUUAUGCACAACACGAGUCAGAGGAUUUACCUUGGCCUCAGAGUUUGCCCUGCAUAUUAGCACAAAUCAAAUAGGCACCUAAGCAAUCAUAUCAAAGAUCGAUAUCUCGAUCAAUCGAGCUAGUCGAUUACCAAUAAACAAGACCACUCAUCAGUCAUUUCUAUUCAAUCAAUUAAUUCACAACAUCAUAUCAAAGCAAUGAUCAAUCGACCUAAUUGAUUACAUAUCCAUCAGACCAUACAUUCCCCACAAUGUAUAUCUAGUUGUCAAGCACACAUGACACAUGCAUUCUCUUAGGCACUAGUUCACCAAAGUCAUGUAUCAAAUCAUUGAGCUCAUGUGUCUCUUCCAAGAUGCCACACAUAAGUCCUUGGGCCCACGUCCAUUCUCUUAGGCACUCGCUUGCCAAAGUGAUGCAUCAAUUCACCGAGUUCACGUGCCCUUUUUACGAUGCCCAGGCCCACGUGCCUUCUCUUAGGUACUAGUUUACCAAAGUGACGCAUCAAAUCACUGAGCCCACGUGCCCUUUUAGAUGCCAUACUUAAUCAUUGGACCCACGUGCAUUCUCUUAGGCACCAAGUCUGCCAAAGUGAUGCAUCAAAUCACCGAGCCCACGUGUCCUUUUAGAUGUCAUACCGAAACAUUGGGCCCACGCGCAUUCUCUUAGGUACUAGUUCGCCAAAGUGAUGUAUCGGAUCACUGAGCCCACGUGCCCUUUUUAGAUGCCAAUACUUAAUCACCGAGCCAACGUACCAUUCUCCAGGUGAUUUACUUUCUACCAUGAUUCCACUAUGAAACAACUCCUUUCUCUAUAGAUCACCAGUCUACUAUCAAUACUGACCAUCGAUAUCCGAUCAUUUCCCAAUCAAAUAAUCAAAAACAACCAUUUAGGAAUAUAUCCUAAAAUUCCAUAUUUAAUUCAAUUCAGCACGAUUCAAAGCUCAAAUAAAUAAACGGAUUGCACCACGACAAUUAGCACGAAAUUGCAAUCACCGGCCAUCCUGGUUGAAUUUUCGGAAAAAUAAAUAAUUAAAUAAAUAAUUUCGAAAAUUAAAUAAAUAAACAUUAAAAAUCCAAUUUAGGCCCGUGAUACCUAAUUGGAACUCGAAACGGGUCGGGAAAACCCCGAGAUACAUUCAAUAAAUAUUAGAAUCUCUCUACUGGUUAAUGACUAAGUCCAACCACCUAACAUGCAUCAUUAAGUCACUAAUUUAAUUGUUCGAAACUAAUCUAAUCGCCUAAUUGCGCUUAAUUAAAUCUAAUCAACCCUUAGGUAUAAUUAGCAAACUAAGAAAGCAUUAGUGAGUAAAACUCACUUGGCAAAGUGAAGAUCGGAACAUUGCGAUGGCGAUGCAAUAGCGGUCGAAAUCCAAAUUUUUGGCAGCGUCGGCGGAUACUCGGGUCGGGCCAAAAAGCCUUGCAAGCCCCACAGAGAACUAUUGGGCUUGGAUUGCUGAAGUCUCAGGCCGAAUUGCUGAAUUAACGGGCUGAACUUCAAAGCCAAAGGUGGGCUUGAAACUUGAUGGAGAUGAUGGGCCGAACUUAUUGGAUCCUUGGGCUUCGCUGGAAAUGGGCUGAGCUGAAAACAAUUGCGAACUGGGCUGAGUUGCUGAAGAUGGGCUUGACAAAUUCGUGUGGGCUGAAGAAAAAAAAACUUUUGUGGACUGCUGCAGCUGAAGCCUCGGCUGGGCUUGACUUCAAUUGGGUCGUGCAAGAAGCAGCAAGGGCUGCUGACUGAAGAGCUGUUGGACUAGGUUUUGCUGGGCCGAAGAUCUGAAGAUGCUGGGCUGAAGAGGCCGAACUUUAGCCUGUCUCACACGGGCUAGAUGGACGCUGGCGCACGGAGGAAAAUGGAGGGCGACGCACGCGGUUUCGUUGGUCUUCGGUUGCUUCGUGCGCGGCAGCAAGGAAGGCCGCUCGGUGGAGAUUCGUGCGUUGCUGCUGCAGACUACGCGGACGAAGAAGCAGCUUGCUGUCUUCGAUGGGGAAAAACGACCGACCGUGCGAUGGGAGGAGAGAGAUCACGGGGCUGUGGUAUUCAGUGGAGCUGCAGUUAACCAAGGACGUGGCAGCAAGCGGUUGGACAGAAGACGUGUGGAUGGGGCAGGCGUCGGGGACGAAACGAAGAUGCUGAAGCUGAGCGUUGAAGACCUGCUGGGAUUGAAGAAACCGAAGGGAACAAACGUGAGUGGAGCAGGGGCAAGCUAGCAGGAGGAGUCAACUGCUAGGCUUUCGGUGGCUUGCUGUUGACCGUGAAAGAGCAGGCUGUGAACACGUAGAGAAGCAGACGUCGCUGGCAAGGGUCUUCGGUCAGCAAGGCUUCAUGAAAUUUUGAAGCCGCGUGGAGCUUCGGUCUUCGUGGGCAGAGAAGACUGAGAUGCUGGCUCAAGUGGGGUUUCGUUGAGUGGAGAGAGAUGAGGAGAGCAGCGAAGGAAAUUAAGGAAAUGAAAUUGAAGCAGAACUUGGUGGAGUCGGCCGUGAAGAUGAGGCGCACGAAGAGAUGAAAGACCGGCAAGCAAUGGUGCUCAAGUGGUCUUGCAAAAAGGGGCCCCAAAGUCAAUCAAGCUUAUCCCUAAAUUGAAUGCUUGGACUCGC
rnacentral:lncRNA from 1 species